CCUACGGGUGGCAGCAGUGGGGAAUAUUGGGCAAUGGACGCAAGCCUGACCCAGCAACGCCGCGUGAAUGAAGAAGGCUUUCGGGUUGUAAACUUCUUUUCUCAGGGACGAAGCAAGUGACGGUACCUUAGGAAUAAGCCACGGCUAACUACGUGCCAGCAGCCGCGGUAAUACGUAGGUGGCAAGCGUUAUCCGGAUUUACUGGGUGUAAAGGGCGUGUAGGCGGGUACGCAAGUUAGAUGUGAAAACCCCGGGCUCAACCUGUGGCCUGCAUUUGAAACUGUGGUACUUGAGUACUGGAGAGGCAGAUGGAAUUCCUAGUGUAGCGGUGGAAUGCGUAGAUAUUAGGAGGAACACCAGUGGCGAAGGCGGUUUGCUGGACAGCAACUGACGCUGAGGCGCGAAAGCGUGGGGAGCAAACAGGAUUAGAUACCCCAGUAGUC
rnacentral:rRNA from 1 species